rnacentral:rRNA from 1 species
AUUGAACGCUGGUGGCAGGCCUAACACAUGCAAGUCGAACGGUAACAGGAAGCAGCUUGCUGCUUUGCUGACGAGUGGCGGACGGGUGAGUAAUGUCUGGGAAACUGCCUGAUGGAGGGGGAUAACUACUGGAAACGGUAGCUAAUACCGCAUAACGUCGCAAGACCAAAGAGGGGGACCUUCGGGCCUCUUGCCAUCGGAUGUGCCCAGAUGGGAUUAGCUAGUAGGUGGGGUAACGGCUCACCUAGGCGACGAUCCCUAGCUGGUCUGAGAGGAUGACCAGCCACACUGGAACUGAGACACGGUCCAGACUCCUACGGGAGGCAGCAGUGGGGAAUAUUGCACAAUGGGCGCAAGCCUGAUGCAGCCAUGCCGCGUGUAUGAAGAAGGCCUUCGGGUUGUAAAGUACUUUCAGCGGGGAGGAAGGGAGUAAAGUUAAUACCUUUGCUCAUUGACGUUACCCGCAGAAGAAGCACCGGCUAACUCCGUG